AGGGGCUGCUGCAUGCCUCCUCUCUGCUUCUGAUCACCUCAGUUGUUGCUUUUGUGAGCAUUUCAUGGGAAAGCAACAAGAGGGCAGGUCUGAAACCCACACCGACAUCUGGCAUGGCAUGCA
rnacentral:precursor_RNA from 14 species